rnacentral:rRNA from 1 species
AGAGUGAACGCUGGCGGCAUGCCUAACACAUGCAAGUCGAACGGUAACAGGCCCGCAAGGGUGCUGACGAGUGGCGGACGGGUGAGGAGUACAUCGGAAUCUGCCCGGUUGUGGGGGAUAAACGUAGGGAAACUUACGCUAAUACCGCAUACGACCUACGGGUGAAAGCGGGGGACCUUCGGGCCUCGCGCAGUCGGAUGAGCCGAUGUCGGAUUAGCUAGUUGGCGGGGUAAAGGCCCACCAAGGCGACGAUCCGUAGCUGGUCUGAGAGGAUGAUCAGCCACACUGGGACUGAGACACGGCCCAGACUCCUACGGGAGGCAGCAGUGGGGAAUUUUCCGCAAUGGGCGAAAGCCUGACGGAGCAAGACCGCGUGGGGGAAGAAGGCUCUUGGGUUGUAAACCCCUUUCUCUGGGAAGAACGCAAUGACGGUACCAGAGGAAUCAGCAUCGGCUAACUCCGUGCCAGCAGCCGC